rnacentral:rRNA from 1 species
CAUCGACGGGUAGCUGGUCUGAGAGGACGAUCAGCCACACUGGGACUGAGACACGGCCCAGACUCCUACGGGAGGCAGCAGUGGGGAAUAUUGCGCAAUGGGCGAAAGCCUGACGCAGCAACGCCGCGUGGGGGAUGAAGGCCUUCGGGUUGUAAACCCCUUUCAGCAGGGACGAAAAUGACGGUACCUGCAGAAGAAGCCCCGGCCAACUACGUGCCAGCAGCCGCGGUAACACGUAGGGGGCAAGCGUUGUCCGGAUUUAUUGGGCGUAAAGAGCUCGUAGGCGGUUGCGUAAGUCGGAUGUGAAAACUCAGGGCUCAACCCGGAGACGCCAUCCGAUACUGCGCUGACUAGAGUCCGGUAGAGGAGCAUGGAAUUCCUGGUGUAGCGGCGAAAUGCGCAGAUAUCAGGAGGAACACCAGUGGCGAAGGCGGUGCUCUGGGCCGGUACUGACGCUGAGGAGCGAAAGCGUGGGUAGCGAACAGGAUUAGAUACCCUGGUAGUCCACGCCGUAAACGUUGGGCACUAGGUGUGGGGCCUCCUUAACGGGCUCCGUGCCGUAGCUAACGCAUUAAGUGCCCCGCCUGGGGAGUACGG